GGGGCGAUAGCUCAGCCUGGGAGAGCACUACGCUGAAGCCGUAGGUGUCCUGGAUUCAAAUUGAUGCGAAGAGCAAUCUUCCUUCCUGAAUGUUCCAGUCGCCCCA
rnacentral:tRNA from 1 species